ensembl:snRNA U6 U6 spliceosomal RNA
GUGCUCACUUUCAUAAUACAUGUACUAAAAUUGGACCAAUACAGAGAACAUUAGCAUGGCCUCCGCACAAGGAUGACACGCAAAUUUGUGAAAUAUUCCAUAUUAAA